rnacentral:rRNA from 1 species
GGGCCCGCACAAGCGGUGGAGCAUGUGGUUUAAUUCGAUGCAACGCGAAGAACCUUACCAGGGCUUGACAUCUUGCGAAUCCUGUGGAAACACGGGAGUGCCCUCUUUAUAGAGGGAGCGCAAAGACAGGUGGUGCAUGGUUGUCGUCAGCUCGUGUCGUGAGAUGUUGGGUUAAGUCCCGCAACGAGCGCAACCCUUGCCCUUAGUUGCCAGCACGUGAUGGUGGGCACUCUAAGGGGACUGCCGGUGACAAACCGGAGGAAGGUGGGGAUGACGUCAAAUCAUCAUGCCCUUUAUGCCCUGGGCUACACACGUGCUACAAUGGCCGGUACAGAGGGCAGCGAACCCGUGAGGGGGAGCGAAUCCCAAAAAGCCGGCCUCAGUUCGGAUUGCAGGCUGCAACUCGCCUGCAUGAAGUCGGAAUCGCUAGUAAUCGCGGAUCAGCAUGCCGCGGUGAAUACGUUCCCGGGCCUU